rnacentral:misc_RNA from 1 species
UCCAUCCCGCAAUAGUUGUCGCUUUGACUUUUUUCUUUCAAUGUUUGCCCAUUCGUUUUAUUUGAAAAAUUUGUGUAAAUAUGAAAAAGGAUAAGUAAUACUUAAAGUACUUUUGAUAAUAAAGAAAGUCACAAAUAAAAUAAAUGAUAAUUUUAAAAAAUUUUGAAUAAGACGAAUGAUCAAAUUUUACAAACAAAAACUCAAAGCGACAAGUAAUAUGGGACGGAGGU